rnacentral:rRNA from 1 species
UACAGAGGGGGCAAGCGUUAUUCGGAAUUAUUGGGCGUAAAGGGCGCGUAGGCGGCUUUGCAAGUGACGGGUGAAAGCCCUCGGCUUAACCGAGGAACUGCCUGUCAGACUGUGAGGCUUGAGACCGGGAGAGGUGAGUGGAACUGCGAGUGUAGAGGUGAAAUUCGUAGAUAUUCGCAAGAACACCAGUGGCGAAGGCGGCUCACUGGCCCGGUACUGACGCUGAGGUGCGAAAGCGUGGGGAGCAAACAGG